CAAUAGCGUAUAUUAAAGUUGUUGCAGUUAAAAAGCUCGUAGUUGGAUUUCUGGUAGGAGUGACCGUUCCGAACUUGAUUGUUCGUGUAUUGUGUUUUCUCCAGCCAUCCUUGUGGAGAACUUUUCUUGCAUUAAUUUGUAGGGAUUGGGACCCGCAUCGUUUACUGUGAAAAAAUUAGAGUGUUUAAAGCAGGCAAUCGCUUGAAUACAUUAGCAUGGAAUAAUAAGAUAGGACUUUGGUACUAUUUUGUCGGUUUGCAUACCAAAUUAAUGAUCAACAGGAACAGUUUGAGAAUAUUCGUAUGAACAUGUCAGAGGUGAAAUUCUUGGAUUUUGAUCAGACGAACUACUGCGAAGGCAUUUAUCAAGGAUGUUUUCAUUAA
rnacentral:rRNA from 1 species